GAUGAACGCUGGCGGCGUGCCUAAUACAUGCAAGUCGAGCGAACGGACGAGAAGCUUGCUUCUCUGAUGUUAGCGGCGGACGGGUGAGUAACACGUGGAUAACCUACCUAUAAGACUGGGAUAACUUCGGGAAACCGGAGCUAAUACCGGAUAAUAUUUUGAACCGCAUGGUUCAAAAGUGAAAGACGGUCUUGCUGUCACUUAUAGAUGGAUCCGCGCUGCAUUAGCUAGUUGGUAAGGUAACGGCUUACCAAGGCAACGAUGCAUAGCCGACCUGAGAGGGUGAUCGGCCACACUGGAACUGAGACACGGUCCAGACUCCUACGGGAGGCAGCAGUAGGGAAUCUUCCGCAAUGGGCGAAAGCCUGACGGAGCAACGCCGCGUGAGUGAUGAAGGUCUUCGGAUCGUAAAACUCUGUUAUUAGGGAAGAACAUAUGUGUAAGUAACUGUGCACAUCUUGACGGUACCUAAUCAGAAAGCCACGGCUAACUACGUGCCAGCAGCCGCGGUAAUACGUAGGUGGCAAGCGUUAUCCGGAAUUAUUGGGCGUAAAGCGCGCGUAGGCGGUUUUUUAAGUCUGAUGUGAAAGCCCACGGCUCAACCGUGGAGGGUCAUUGGAAACUGGAAAACUUGAGUGCAGAAGAGGAAAGUGGAAUUCCAUGUGUAGCGGUGAAAUGCGCAGAGAUAUGGAGGAACACCAGUGGCGAAGGCGACUUUCUGGUCUGUAACUGACGCUGAUGUGCGAAAGCGUGGGGAUCAAACAGGAUUAGAUACCCUGGUAGUCCACGCCGUAAUCGAUGAGUGCUAAGUGUUAGGGGGUUUCCGCCCCUUAGUGCUGCAGCUAACGCAUUAAGCACUCCGCCUGGGGAGUACGACCGCAAGGUUGAAACUCAAAGGAAUUGACGGGGACCCGCACAAGCGGUGGAGCAUGUGGUUUAAUUCGAAGCAACGCGAAGAACCUUACCAAAUCUUGACAUCCUUUGACAACUCUAGAGAUAGAGCCUUCCCCUUCGGGGGACAAAGUGACAGGUGGUGCAUGGUUGUCGUCAGCUCGUGUCGUGAGAUGUUGGGUUAAGUCCCGCAACGAGCGCAACCCUUAAGCUUAGUUGCCAUCAUUAAGUUGGGCACUCUAAGUUGACUGCCGGUGACAAACCGGAGGAAGGUGGGGAUGACGUCAAAUCAUCAUGCCCCUUAUGAUUUGGGCUACACACGUGCUACAAUGGACAAUACAAAGGGCAGCGAAACCGCGAGGUCAAGCAAAUCCCAUAAAGUUGUUCUCAGUUCGGAUUGUAGUCUGCAACUCGACUACAUGAAGCUGGAAUCGCUAGUAAUCGUAGAUCAGCAUGCUACGGUGAGUACGUUCCCGGGUCU
rnacentral:rRNA from 1 species